CUACUGACAUUGCUAAAGAUGAUCAUGAAGACAUUUAUCCAGCCUCUCCUACCUCCCCUUCGCCCAGCCCUUCAGAAGCUUAUGUCAAGUGUGACAGGCUAGGUGAUGAAUGGGUAGAAAGUUGACAGGUGACGACAGGCGGCUGAAGAUACAAAUGGUAUGGAGCGAAGGGAGCAUCACCUUUGGGUAUCCAUUAUUCUGGCGAUCACCUGGGGAUGGCCAAUUUGAAACCACCUUGGAGGUAAGAAAUCAACUAGGUUUGCAGAAGAGGGUGACGGCUGCAGGGCUUCACUUUUGCUGGAUGUCAUUUAACAUGGAUGAACUGUAAGUGCCUAAAAUGGGGGUGCUUAUCAUGGAGAAGCACUGGGUUUAUAUGGCCACACAGAAAGCUCAGUGCAAUAUUGUUCAGCAUAAAAAGGGAGGAAGGGCAGCAAGCAAUGCAGAAAGUGACAAACCAUUAAGCUAAUCCUAUAAAGAUCUGGCCUGUCAGGCAGCACAUUUCCUGAAUACUUAGAAAGCAUGAGAGAGGCUUAUUAAUGGUUCAUCACAGUUCUUACACUGCUUACAUGGCUAAUAUGCAAACACUGCCCUUUCUUAGUUGGGAUUUUCAGCACAUCAGGACGUCACUUCCAUGGCUACUGUAUUUUUUUUUCCUCCUGGGUAAUUGAAGCAUUACCAUAGAAGACAAUGAUUGAUGAUGUCUUUAAAGGUCUAAAAAAGCACAGGCUAUUUUUGAAACUGUGCCAUGUCUAUAUAAGGAGAGAAGAAGGAACAGUCUGAAUUCUACAGUCUGCUAGAGCAACAGCAACAAAGCGCUGAGGCAUAUGCAGAGCACAGGGCUACUUUCGUUUUUUUGUUCCCACUCUGCACCCUUUCCUUCCCCUUUUUGAGUUACUGCCUGCUGCCCAUUAGUGCAGGGAUGGUCUGGAGUUUGUCACAUGCUCAGAGUAAUUAGACCACCGGUGCCAGGAAAGUGUGACUCCACACCUCAUCCUUAGGAGCUGCAAAGCUCUUCUCACCUUUGAAGGCUGCUGGAGUGAGUUGAAAACAAGAAAUAGUGGUGGUGCUGGUGGGAUUACCAUAGUUUUGCAUUUAGCACAACAGCUUUCUUUGAGGUAUUUACAGCACUUUGAAACUACCACCUUAUGUCCACGCAUCCCUUCCCCUACUUUUUAUUUGUCGUUUUCUUCUCUUCAGCUCUUCUGUCAACCUUUAUGGGUGUUGGUUCAAUCCAGUAAACAUUUAGGAGGAAUCUGCAACACCUUACUAGGUACUGAGAAUAUGAAACUCUUUAUGUAUGCUUUUAUUUAAUUCCUGGAAACAGGAUUGUAAGAUAGGCACACAUGGUAACAAAUGUCAUUUUAAAAUCACUGUGUGUUUUUUUUUUUUUUCUUUUUUCAUCCUUGUACCAAUAAUGGGUAAAGACACAGAGAGAGGACUUAUUUUUGAGGGAUAGGAGAGUGAAAGUUGGGAACAAAACAUUGGUUUAGGUUAAUUCAUCUCUAUGCCCUCAAAAUUACCUUAAAAGAUGGAAAAGCUAGGGCCUCGUUCACUAAACCAUUUGAGCUGCUCUCCAGUGUUUGAUUUAAUACAUAUUUAGUACUUGUCAAAUAUAUAACUAAAGUCAUAAAACCUAAGGAAAACAAUAGGAAGCACACUAUUAAAACUGGUUUUUGUUUCUGUUUGUUUGUUUUGUUUCCCUCAGAGCAAUUCUGGCCAUGUCAGUUUGGGCAAGUUACCCAAAUUUUCUGGGAAUUCAGUCCCUCAUUUAUACAAUGAAUAUAAUAAUAACUGGCUUAAAAAGUGUUCAGACUAUUAAAAGAGAAAAUAAAGAGCACAGCGUAUGACA
rnacentral:lncRNA from 12 species